rnacentral:lncRNA from 1 species
ACGGAAGUGGGGAAUUCUCUAUGGCAAUUGUGCAAGCCAAUCAGGUUUUAGAGGAUCAAAGUCAGAUAGAGUCAGGUCCUUUUGGAACCUUUGUUGGAGUCUAUGAUGGUCAUGGCGGCCCUGAUACUGCUCGUUAUGUUUGUGAUCAUUUAUUUCAACAUUUCCAAGGUUCAUCUUCUCUUUGUUUUUCUUUCUUAAUGUGUGUUUUGCCAAUUUUUGUCUGUUUUAUGAUACUGCUCGUUAUGUUUGUGAUAAUUUAUUUCGACAUUUCCAAGGUUCAUCUUCUCUUUGUCUUUCUUUUCUUAAUGUGUGUUUUGCCAAUUUUUGUCUGUUUUGUUACUAUUUUAAAAUGUUAAAUUUUCUAGUAGUUGAUUAGGUCGAUUGAAGUAGGGAAGGUCGAUUAAGGCAGAGAAUUUGGUUCAAGAAUGCUUGCAUUAGGGUAGGCUGUCUAUAUUCAUCCCCGUGGGUGCGGCCCUUCUCUCGCCCCUGCGUGAAUGGGGAUGCUUUGUGCAUCGGGUUUUAAAAAAUGUUGCUUCAAGAAUGAGGAAAGGCUAGGCCUUAUAAGUCUAAUUAGUUGAAGUUACUGGACUGGAGGGUAUCCUUUGAGUGGAUUCUGCGUUAACCCCAAGAUGUCGGUCUCUAACUAGAAAAGUAAAUGCCUGAGCUUUAGUGAGAAUGGCCUCCUUGCUUAUUGACUUGAACCACUGACCUUUAAGUGAACCUAUGGGACAAAAUGAACGGCACCCCUUGGUUAUAUGAUAUUUUUGUAUUAUUCCUCUUUAUUUAGGUC